GACGAACGCUGGCGGCGUGCCUAAUACAUGCAAGUAGAACGCUGAAGGAGGAGCUUGCUUCUCUGGAUGAGUUGCGAACGGGUGAGUAACGCGUAGGUAACCUGCCUGGUAGCGGGGGAUAACUAUUGGAAACGAUAGCUAAUACCGCAUAAUAGUAGAUGUUGCAUGACAUUUGCUUAAAAGGUGCAAUUGCAUCACUACCAGAUGGACCUGCGUUGUAUUAGCUAGUUGGUGAGGUAACGGCUCACCAAGGCAACGAUACAUAGCCGACCUGAGAGGGUGAUCGGCCACACUGGGACUGAGACACGGCCCAGACUCCUACGGGAGGCAGCAGUAGGGAAUCUUCGGCAAUGGACGGAAGUCUGACCGAGCAACGCCGCGUGAGUGAAGAAGGUUUUCGGAUCGUAAAGCUCUGUUGUAAGAGAAGAACGAGUGUGAGAGUGGAAAGUUCACACUGUGACGGUAUCCUACCAGAAAGGGACGGCUAACUACGUG
rnacentral:rRNA from 1 species